AUAUCUUUCUGUACGGGAAGGAUGAGAAGCUUCGACUAAGGUUCGAUUCGAGCGCAGCGAGAAAGCGUUGCCGCAGGCAACGGCCCGAAGGGCGAAGCGCGCAGCGCUGAGUAAUCCUUCCCCCACCACCA
rnacentral:sRNA from 3 species